AUUGAACGCUGGCGGCAGGCCUAACACAUGCAAGUCGAACGAGUGGCGGACGGGUGAGUAAUGUCUGGGAAACUGCCCGAUGGAGGGGGAUAACUACUGGAAACGGUAGCUAAUACCGCAUACCAUCGGAUGUGCCCAGAUGGGAUUAGCUAGUAGGUGGGGUAACGGGUCACCUAGGGGACGAUCCCUAGCUGGUCUGAGAGGAGGACCAGCCAAACUGGAACUGAGACACGGUCCAGAUGCCGACGGGAGGCAGCAGUGGGGAAUAUUGCACAAUGGGGGCAAGCUGGAUGCAGCCUGGCCUGGUGUAUGAAGAAGGCCUGCGGGUUGUAAAGUACUUUCAGCGAGGAGGCGUGACUCGCAGAAGAAGCACCGGCUAACUCCGUGCCAGCAGCCGCGGAAUAC
rnacentral:rRNA from 1 species